rnacentral:rRNA from 1 species
AAGAUCGCCCCGUUUUUUGAAACGGGUUCUAUUCCCAAACCGUGUAUACAUACCUUUGUUGCUUUGGCAGGCCGCCUUCGGGCGUCGGCUCCGGCUGACUGUGCCUGCCAGAGGACCCAAACUCUUUUGUUUAGUGAUGUCUGAGUACUAUAUAAUAGUUAAAACUUUCAACAACGGAUCUCUUGGUUCUGGCAUCGAUGAAGAACGCAGCGAAAUGCGAUAAGUAAUGUGAAUUGCAGAAUUCAGUGAAUCAUCGAAUCUUUGAACGCACAUUGCGCCCCUUGGUAUUCUGAGGGGCAUGCCUGUUCGAGCGUCAUUAUAACCACUCAAGCCUGGCUUGGUAUUGGGGCUCGCGGUUCCGCGGCCCUUAAAAUCAGUGGCGGUGCCGUCUGGCUCUAAGCGUAGUAAUUCUCUCGCUAUAGGGUCCUGGCGGUAGCUUGCCAAAAUCCCCCUAUUUUUUACGGUUGACCUCGGAUCAGGUAGGGAUACCCGCUGAACUUAAGCAUAUC